CAGGAUGUAACUCAGUGGUAGAGUAUGUGCUUUGUAUGGAUGAGGUUCUGGGUUCAAUUCACCAUCUUCA